rnacentral:lncRNA from 1 species
CAUUUCUUUAUAAUAUAUUGGUUAAUUUUAAUGUCAAAACACAGCACCAAAACAUACAAUCCAUAUAUCAAAAGCAGUAAAGCCCCUUCAUACCUACAAAAGAGAAAUUUGUGUUUUUAAAUUAAAAGUGAAAGUCAUUUUAGAGUUGAUAGCUUUUGGGCAGUAUCUAUUGAAUGAUUUUCUAACAAAAGUAGCCAUAGAACAAUCAAACAUUUCUAGAUAUUUUUUGUUUUGUAGAUUUGUCCAGACUUGAUUACAGCAUUAUUAUGUUUAUUGAUAAAAGCUGGACACUUCUGUGUUGUUUUUUUUUUUUUAAAAACAAGAUCAACAAACUCGUUUUUACUUGUAGAUUCCUUCCAAAUGAUAGGUAUAAAAAUGCAAGGAAAAUGAUAAUUGGAGAUUUUCAAAAUAAAUGUAAAAUUAAUAAAUAGUGGUGAACAUUUUCUGCCUCAGCUCAUUGGCAUAAUACAUUCCCCAACAUACAUAAUAAUUAUAAAAUAAUAUAGUAACUGUUAAGUUAUUUCAACUGUCCAAGUUUUCUGGUAUAGGAACUUUGUGUAAAAUAUUACUCAGAUAUGGGAGGCUUAGGCUGGGAUUUUUCAGUUUGUCAUACAGAGCAUUUUUAAUGAUUUGAAUGUAGCUGAAUUUGGCUUACAGUCACAAGAAAACAAGAUGUUCUAAAAUAUAAAAUUAUACCCUUGGAACCAAGAACUGUUUCCCUGUACUCUGGCAGUUAGCUAAUGCCAUCACAUUUGAACCUUGCAUUUACCUUUUAUAGCCAGUGAAUCUCUGUCUGCUGUAUCUUAAAGAACAGUUCUGAUUUCCCUAAUGGAGGAAGAAUUAGCUUGGAUACUCUCACAGUCACUAUCCCUUACAGACAACUGCUGAGUUCUAGAAGGAUUUCUAUUCUACCAACACAGUGUCUUAGGGAGACGGACUAGAGGACAGGAUGAUUAGUUUAGAAAUUAUGCUUCUGGCUAGGUUUUAAGUUUCUUGAUAGCAGGUAUUACGCCGUGCUGCAAGGUUAUGGUUCUCCAGAUGGACACCAUUACAUUUUUUUUUUUUCAUAUUUUUCUGGUGUCCUCUGGAGUUAUGCAAUGUAUAUAACCUGUGUAGCUGUGUUUUACAUUUCAUUAUCCCUUAUGAUAUCUAGCAUAGUGAGAAGGACCUAGUAGGUGCCUGCUGCUUACUAGUUGAAAAAGUUAGUAUCUGUCCACUCAGUCACCACCUUUUUCAUUUUCUUGGACCAGCUAGGCACAGAGAGAUUGUAAGGAAAGCAAACAAUUUUUAAUAUGAAAAGCUAAGCAUUGUUAUUUCUUAGAGGAAGGCUAUAGUUUCUCCUGAAUGAGCAUCAGAAGUUUGGAGGAAUUUAAAAAGACUUCUUUUACUUCCUCUACCAUCCUUCUCCAGUCUUUUGUGGCCAUGAACACUUCUAACCAAGGCAAGGUGAGCAGUAACCCAGCAGAAGAAAAAGUCAACUGUUGUGGCUUUAAUGGACAACAGGAGUUGGGAAACUUUCUGAAUAGGCAGCCAGUGGGGAGAAGGAAAAGUGGUGGUCUCCAGUGACUAGUGAGAGAAAAAAGGAGACUGUGAAGUGAUUAAGAAGAAAUUGCAAACUAGUGAGAAGAACUCAAUCAGCAAUUGUGAUGAGGUUAACUCACAGACCUGUUGGAAUAUGGUAUAGAAGUGGCAGAUUAAGUGACUGAAAUAACAUUUCUGAAAAAAAAUUACUGAACCAUCAGAAAUUCAUAAAAUCUCUAAUUUUUACAUAAGAAUUAUUUUCAAGCUUACCAGUAAACUUGGUUGUCAUAUAUUAUACCAAGAACUGCUGCUGCACUAAUUGUGUACGCUGCACAGUCUCUGAAUAGGGGCCAACAUGAUAGUGUUGAGACCUGUAAUAUGGUAAGUUAUUAUUUCCAUUACAUUGUAACUUCUUCAAGUACAAUCCUUAGUAUAAUACUAAAAUUGUUUAUAUAUUUGUAGUUAAAUAUUGUUAUCUUUUGCAUAUUGCUUAGAGAAAAAAAUGUAAAAUUGUGUUCUAACUUACACAGACUUUCAUAAAUCUGACCAAGAGCUAUUUGUGGAUUAACAUUAAAUUGAAUACAUGUUGUUUUUCUACUGAUUAAUAAAUUUGAUUGCACAUAU